UCUAUUAUCGGUGGAAGCAGGUGGCAAGUCUGAAAAGGGCUAUAGGUUCCAUCUCUAUUCUGAUCGGUGUGCAAUUGCAGUCUCACCAAGAGGUAUCCAACAUCACACAUCAGAACUACCAAGCCUGGACUUGCACACAAAUCAAGAAUAGCAUCAGCCAACCGUCUCAGCAAACAGACAGCCUCUAAAGAUGCGUUUCUGCCGAGGCUUGACAGAGCGACUGACCCUUAUCAGCACCAUGGACACAGGCUUGCGUAUAUAAAGACAAUAGUAGUAACUUACUGCGCGAAUAAAAACACAUCACCAUCAAUACUAUCUUUAAAACAGCAAGCCAUCUCCAAACACUGCUGUGGUCGGAUCUGGAAAAGAGAACUAUUCAGCUACUGAAAUGAAGGGAUUUCAAUUAAUUAAAGCUAACUGACUAGGGCAUACAUAUAAACAGGUCAGAAUUGCAAUGUACUAAAAAAAGAGCGGGUUUAGAUCAAUGAACAUAUCAAACAUCUACAGAAGAGGGGAACCUGAAGCAACAUAUCGGACUGGACACUUCACCAAAGAAAGCAGGAUAGAGUAAACUGCUGCGUGUCUUUAACCACAAUACUGCUGAGCUUUGGGUCGUUGUUAAUUUAAACCGCUAUUUCUCAAACAAUUCAAAACUGAAAAGUCUUUAAUUUGAAAGCAACGCGUUAGCGAAUAAUCUAUGUUUAUAAAGACAAAAAAGUAAAAAAAAAAAAAAAACUGAGACAUUCUCUUGUAAAAAACGGUUAAAGGAUGAUGAUUGAAUGCAAUUGCUGUGUCAGUGUUGUGGACAGCUCUAAGUAGCAAGAACAUACCAGUCGGUGCUAGACUAUGUAGAUAGCUCCUGUGGUAUCUACUCUCAUUGUAGUCAAUUAUUGUAACGUAGCAGGUAUGAGGAGUUCCAAAUGAUACCACACCAUCUGUUUCAGCACAUCAAGACACGGACAGCUCCUAGUGCAGUCUUAGCUGUUUCCGUCCUAGAACUGUGGACAGCUACAAAACCAAGCUGUGUAAUUAGGAACCGCGGCAAUUUCCAAAGGGAUCAUUCCACUGACAGCCAAGACAGUCUCAACAUAAAGACUCAGCAACAGUUCUUCUAGAAAAGCAAAACCAUCAAAAGAAAGGAAGCGGACUUCGUGUGCGUAUCCAGAAGGACUGAAAAGGACAAUUAGGAAUAGCACGCGCUGUUGAUGCAUCAAGUUGAUUCUACAUUUAACAGGUAACAUGAUCUAAUGAUGUCCCCACUGAUGCUGGCAGAGUCUUCCCUGUUGUUAAAAAACUUCCUUUAAACCCCAACAGCAUUGAAACUAAAAAAAAUAAAUAAAAAAAGCUCUUAACUUGUGAUCAACAUGAAGAACACCAGGUACAGCACAAAUGUGUCCAGCAUUCUCCAGAUACUGGUAUUCCACAUCCUUGUGCAAAUCUCACUGCCGACAUCCAGCUACAACACAGGCAGCAAGCGGGAGAUCACCGUGGAAGGGGACUUGAUGAUCGGAGGACUGUUCCCCGUUCACGAGAAAGGCGAGGGGACAGAGGACUGCGGAAAAAUUAACGAGCAACGAGGGAUUCAGAGAUUAGAGGCCAUGCUCCUAGCUUUGGAUGAGAUCAACAAAGAUGAGAAACUCCUGCCAGGCCUCAAGCUUGGAGCUCACAUCCUCGACACCUGCUCCAAGGACACAUAUGCCCUGGAACAAUCCCUGGAGUUUGUACGGGCUUCCAUGACCAAAGUGGACGAGACUGAGUAUAUCUGUCCUGACGGAUCCUAUGCUAUCCAUGAUGACUUUCCCUUGGCUAUCUCGGGAGUCAUUGGUGGAUCUUACAGUGACGUCUCCAUUCAGGUGGCAAACCUUUUGAGACUCUUUCAAAUCCCCCAGAUCAGCUACGCUUCCACCAGUGCCAAGCUGAGCGACAAGACCCGCUAUGACUACUUUGCCCGCACUGUGCCGCCGGACUUCUACCAGGCCAAAGCAAUGGCAGAGAUCUUGCGUUUCUACAACUGGACCUAUGUGUCCACUGUGGCUUCGGAGGGGGACUAUGGCGAAACUGGCAUUGAGGCCUUUGAGCAGGAGGCCCGGGCACGCCAGAUCUGUAUCGCCACUUCUGCCAAAGUGGGUCGCUCCAUGAACCGGAAGAGCUAUGAGACGGUCAUCAAAUCCCUGCAGCAGAAGCCCAACGCCAGGGUGGUUAUCCUUUUCACCCGCAGCGAGGAUGCCAGGGAGCUACUAGCAGCUGCCAUGCUCAUGAACGUGUCCUUCAUCUGGGUGGCAAGUGACGGCUGGGGGGCGCAGGAGAGUGUGGUGAGGGGUAGCGAGCUAGUGGCGGACCGGGCCUUUACCAUCGAGCUGGCUUCGUAUCCCAUCAAGAAUUUUGCUGACUACUUUACCAGGCUGGAUCCCUACAACAAUACCCGCAAUCCCUGGUUCAGGGAGUUCUGGGAGCACCGCUUUCAGUGCAGCCUGCAAGAUCUGGCUUGCGGCCAGCGCUCACUCAUGGAUGGCAAGUUCGAACAAGAGUCCAAGAUCAUGUUUGUGGUCAACGCCAUUUACGCCAUGGCUCACGCUCUGCACAACAUGCGCCAAGCCCUCUGCCCCAACUCCACCAAGAUCUGCGAUGCCAUGAAGCCCAUAAAUGGGAAGAGGUUUUACAAGGAAUUCAUCCUGAAAACUAAAUUUGAUGCUCCAUUCCGUCCAGCAGACACUGAAAACAUUGUACUCUUUGACGCCUUUGGCGACAGUAUCGGCCGCUACAACAUCUUCAACUUCCACAAAGUGGACGGCAGGUAUGUCUACGAAAAAGUAGGCUACUGGGCACAAAGCCUGACCCUGAACACCAGCCACAUUCCCUGGGCCAGCCACACAACCCCCACCUCUCAGUGCAGUGACCCCUGCAAGAAGAACGAAGUGAAAAGCAUGCAGCCAGGCGAUGUCUGCUGCUGGCUCUGCAUCCCUUGCCAACCCUACCAGUUCCUGGUGGAUGAGUUUACCUGCAUGGACUGUGGCUUUGGUCGCUGGCCAACGGAAAACCUCACUAGCUGUUACAACCUACCUGAAGAGUACAUUCACUUUGAAGAUGCUUGGGCUAUUGGCCCUGUGGCCAUCUCCUGCCUGGGCUUCAUAUGCACCCUCUUUGUGAUCGGUGUCUUCCUGAAAAACAAUGACACCCCCGUCGUGAAGGCCUCGGGAAGGGAGCUUUGCUAUAUCCUGCUGUUGGGUGUCCUGAUGUGCUACAGCAUGACCUUCAUCUUCAUCGCCAAGCCUUCAUCUGUCGUCUGCACCCUCCGUCGUUUAGGCUUGGGCACUUCCUUUGCCGUGUGCUACUCAGCCCUACUUACCAAGACCAACCGGAUCGCCAGAAUCUUCAAUGGCGUCAAAGAUGGAGCACAGCGGCCCAGGUUUAUCAGCCCCGCCUCCCAGGUGGUUAUCUGCAUGGCGCUCAUCUCCUGCCAGCUCAUCGUGGUCAUUGUGUGGCUGCUCGUGGAGACGCCUGGCGUCCGCAAGGAGGUGGCUCCAGACAAGCGAGAUGUGGUGACCCUGAAGUGCAACAACAAGGACACCAGCAUGCUCAUGUCCCUGACCUACAACAUGAUCCUCAUCAUUCUAUGCACCGUCUAUGCCUUCAAGACCAGGAAGUGCCCUGAAAACUUCAAUGAGGCAAAGUUUAUUGGCUUCACCAUGUACACCACCUGCAUCAUCUGGCUGGCUUUCCAACCUAUUUUCUAUGUCACUUCAAGUGAUUACAGGGUUCAGACCACCACCAUGUGUAUCUCGGUCAGUCUGAGUGGUACGGUGGUUUUGGGGUGCAUGUUUGUUCCGAAGACGCAUAUCAUCCUGUUUCAGCCCCAGAAGAAUGUUGCAAGUCAUCGCGUGGCAGUAAACCGAUUUAGUGUAACCGGCCCAGGCUCCAGCUAUUCUCACGGUUAGCCAAGAAUGUGCAUCUUUAUUCCCUGAGCAAAGGAAAAACAAACAAUUUCACUGCUUCAGCCUCCAACUUUGUGCCGACAGUCUGCAAUGGUCGAGAGGUGGUAGACUCAACAACCUCAUCCUUGUGAAGACUAUUAGAGACUUGCCCUGUCCAAAAAACAUAAAACACACUAGUAAAAAAAAAAAAAAAAGGAUAUUGAAAAGUUUCUGUGUGGGCUGCCAUUUGCAUAGGUCUCGAUUAUUCUAGAAUGUGAUGUAUAUGCAAUAUCCCUAAUAGUUUUUUUUUUAUUCGUAUAACAUUAAAAAAAGUAAUUAUUCCUUCUUUUUUUUAAAAAGUUUAAUUUGAAAAAUGAAGUAACCGAUAGUAGAAAUGUUAAAUGUAUAAAAUGUUUUUAAUGUAGAUUUUUGUGAACCAGUUUGUGCUUUCUUGUAAUUUAUGUAAAUAAAAAAAGGUGAUUUUUAAUGAAUAUUAACAGCCUGGCUUUUCUGCAAGUCAUUUUCACACAUCAUCUCUGGUUACCAUGUGCCGAUAAAAAGAAACAGGAAAAAGGUGACAUUCCGAAAUCAGAAAAUUAGGAAUGGGAAUUUCAAAGUUUCCUAUUUUAAUACACAGGGGCCAACAUUUUUGUGUAUUCGAAUACCUGAAAUAAAGAAUAAAAGGCAAAUACGUAUGUGUACUACAGCAGACAGCAUAAAAAGUGUAAGCCACUAAAGUUUAAGAGCACUCUCUGGAGGAGCCAGCCAGGUUCAUGAAGUGUACAAAAAAUGGUUCUAGGGUCAGAAUGGUAAAAAACUGGCUACAAAGCCUGGUCCAUUAUGGGUUAAACAAAUGACAGAUUCAGUUGGCACCAAUCAAGUUGAUUUCACUGUUUAUUGGAAGAAUGAUGAUACACAACAAUUCUUUACCAGCAGUUGUUUAACCUUGAGGGAGAAAAUGUAGUUGCCUUUUAUACCUUAGUGGAGCUGAUAAGCCAAACUCCCUUCAAAAACCCCUUAACCAUACACAAAGGGUCAGAGAAUACAAGCCACCCCCCAAAAACUGAUGUAUCUGAAAGAUGAAUACAAGUCAACCCCACAAUUGUGGGAUUGAAACCCACAAUUUGUUUUCACCAAUGGGUUUAUUUAACCACUUUGACAUUAACAGUGGAGACUUCACUAAUGUGUAUUGCACUCUGAGUCUUCAUAAUACUCAAAUAAAUGUUUCAGUUCUAUAGAAGUCUGCAGUAUUUGCCCAAAUUGAAGCUUUUUGUGUAGGCACUACUGACAAUGCAGCAUAACCUUUGGAUACUUGGAUGAAGCUUCAAUUCAAGUGAAUAUGGCUUCAAAGGGCUAUUGUAAGGCAUCAAAGGCAGAUCAUGGUGAGAAAGGGAGACGGAGCAGACAGAUUUUGACUUGCCUGUCUGAAUCUGGAGGUUCACAGUAAAUGGGGUGCAGUUUAUGUGAAUUCCUGUGUAGCUGUCUGAGAUUUUCUUGAACCUGUAUCUUUACUAUUGCCAUUUUUUUUUUUUUUUUUU